rnacentral:rRNA from 1 species
AUUGAACGCUGGCGGCAGGCCUAACACAUGCAAGUCGAGCGGCAGAACGGUGCUUGCUUCUGCUUACAGCGGCGGACGGGCGAGCAAUGCCGAGGAACCUGCCUGGCUGCGGGUGAUAACGUCCGGAAGCGGGCGCUCAUACCGCAUUCGCCCAGAGGGAGUAAGUGGGGGAUCAUCGGACCUCCCGCCCUCAGACGAGUCUAUGUCGGAUUAGCUAGUUGGUGGGGUAAAGGCCUACCAAGGCGACGAUCCGUAGCUGGUCUGAGAGGAUGAUCAGUCACACUGGAACUGAGACACGGUCCAGACUCCUACGGGAGGCAGCAGUGGGGAAUAUUGGACAAUGGGCGCAAGCCUGAUCCAGCCAUGCCGCGUGUGUGAAGAAGGUCUUCGGAUUGUAAAGCACUUUUAGUUGGGAAGAAGAGCAGUAAGUUAAUACCUCGCUGUUUUGACGUUACCAAAAGAAUAAGCACCGGCUAACUUCGUG